GAAGAUCGUCAUCUCCGGUGAGGUGGCUGGACUUCAAAUCCAGUUGGGGGCGCCAGCGUUCCCGGGCAGGUUCGACUCCUG
rnacentral:tRNA from 1 species